CACGUGCACCAGACAUUGACAGGUAGCCUCUUCUUUCUCUGUUCUUCAACAGAACUGCAUUUGUCCCCAGUAAUUUUUAAUUGGUUUUGUGUGUGUGUAUAUAUAUAUGUCUAUACAUAUGUAUAUAUAUAUACAUAUGUGUAUAUAUAUGCCUAUAGAAUGUUAACCAUAAUAAUGAUAAAGUAUAAUCAUGAGCUGUGGUAAACAUUUGUGCUUUUCUAUUAUUCUAUAUUUGAAAUAUGCUAAUUUGAAGUGAGGUCUAUCAUGAUACAUAAUGUAUUAUGAUCUCUGGACCAUAAUCUAUCAACAAAUACAUAUGAAAUGAGCAAGAAUGAGUUGGAUAGAGAAAGGAAGAUAAGGGCCAGAGGAAAACCAGAGAUGAGAAUCAUAUCUAUAAAGUGGCAGUAGCAUUAUUUAACCAGGAAGGGUGAGGCUGCAAACUUUAAUGCCUACAGUAACCAUGCAGGCCCCAUGAACUGGUGAAUCAGGCUUGGUCAUGUCAGUGAGAGCUGGAGACUUAAUGUCCUUUCUAAAGGGGACACUUAUCACCCAGCCAACUGCCAUUUUGCAUGAAAGCAAGCCCAGUUGGCCAGCACUUCCCAUUUUUCAAGAGAAAUACAAAAUUUAAAAUCAUAUUUUAAAUAUGAAAUCUCCUGAUUUUUAAAUGAUGCCAUUAAUUCAAUUAAAAGAAAUAUUGAAUGGGCCCCACAAAACCACAUCUUUAUACUAAACUUGAUCUGCAAGCCACCAGUUGCAAGCUUAAGGCUAAUAUUUCUAGUUAUAACUACCCCUGAGACAAGCAGUGACACCUUGGACAAAAUUAUUUAAUCUGUUUUAAAUCUUUAACAUAGGCAAAGAUUUGUGCAGUGCCCAGAAAUUUCCUACAAGAUCCCUGUAUGAAGGAAAUUAACAAUGCCAGAAACUAGUGUUCAAAAAUGAGAUCCUGUUUUUUAAGCAUUACAUAACCCUUAGCCCUAGAGAUAAUGAAAAAUACAAAUGACAUAUAAUACUAAUAAGAAUACUAAUGACAAAUGAAUGUCUCAAGCAGUUGUGUGUCAGCAUAUUAUCCCUGAAAAAGAAGUUGUUUCUUCCAUACUCUGCCAGAGAUAGGUCUCAACUCAGAGUCUAAUGCAAAUAACUCAACUUGACUCAAAGGGAGAGAGCAAAUGGCCAAGGAAACCAAGAAAGUCUGCUACCAGGAUCUUGUGUCUUCUUAAAAUGUAUCUUUAGAAGAGCUGUGAGUGCAUGUAUGUUGAAAUGGAAGGCUGUUUUAGAAAUGCAUGUUCUCAUGGAAUUUUAGGAUUGGAAGGGAUCUGGUUCAGUCCUUAAUUCACAGCCCCCUUUAGCACUGCUCCUGCGUACAAAUCUUUCCAACGAUGGAGAAACCCAUUCCGUUCAGAGGCAGCUCAUUCCACUUUUAGAUAGCUCCAAUAGUUUAUAAAAGAUAAUUUUUUUAAUUCUGAAAUCUGCCACUCUCAUGUUUUUCCUCUUUAAUCCUUGCUUUGACCUCAGGCGAGAGAAAACAGGUGGUCAAAUGCCUCUUGCCUAAGAUGGAACUCAAAAUAUUUGAAGCCUUCCUAUCUUCACCCUGCAAAAUAACCCGUCUCUCCUCCCUUUCCACAGGAUAUGUGAUUUCUGGAAAUUCACUGCCGUGUUCCUUCUAGAAAAGAUUAAACUCAUUUAAAAUACUCAGAAGCCUCUUAAAGAGGAAAACUUCUCAUCAGAGGAGGAAAAAAAGUUUCCCAUUUGUAGCUGGCAAAGAGAAUGCACAGCUUGUGUUAUGAAAAUUGAUAAACCACGUGAGAGUUAAUGUGGGAAAUACUACAGUCUCAGUAUAUACUUGCUAAUAUGGUGUACAUUGAAGCCUUAUCCAGGAACCUUUUGGCCAAGUAGAAAUUUUGGUUGUACCUACUGCAAAAAGUUUCCAAGAUAUUCUGAAAUAGAAUUUGAGGUCCUGAAGUCUCUAUUGGUCUCAGGUUUAGAAAAGUUGCAGAAUGAGAGUGAUGUAGAACAUGGCUUAGAUGUGGGUUCAAGGAAGGCCUCAUGCUAGCAAGCAUGCUUUGGGACUUUGGGCAAGUGAUUUAUUUAACUCUUCCAAGCCAUAGCAUCAUCUUAUUAUAAAAGGCAAACCAAAGUGUAACCUGGCUCUGGGUGGUCAGACAAGCUCAUUUCUGAUCAGUACCUAGUAGCAUGCAGUCAGGGCUCCUUGAGCUGUUCCUGUGGUGGCAGCCUUUGCCUGAGAUGUGGCCUGGGAUGUGACUUGGGAUCACUCUCUGCAGAGACUGGGUGCCCAAGCACCCUCUUUGCAGGGCUCAGUCUAGAAAAGUCUCUGUUUUCUCAAGAGGAUGUCAUUUCUGCCGGCUGGGCCAUAGGUUUUUACUUAGCAAGCAACAGCUAUCAGUACACUCCGUGUACCUGCCAAAGAGUACAAAAUCAUCCUGAAUGCCAUCCCCCACAUCACAAGCUCAGAGCAGAAACUCAAACUUUACACAGCUGUCUCAGGAGGAUCUUGAGUUCACCCAUUCCUCUCCCUUCACUGGGAUCAACCACGUAUUGGGUUGUGUGCCUGAAGUGUCACACUGCCUCCUUGGUUUUCACAAAACUCUGCUUCUUGAGAUGCCAUCAGAUAAUAUGGAAGGAUGUUAUAACAUGACAGCACUAUGAAGGUUGGUGCUGUCUAUUACUAAAAAGUACUUAGGGGGCCGGCUCGGUGGCACAGCAACUGAGUUUGCGUGCUCCAGUAUGGCAGCCCAGUUUCACCAGUUCGGAUCCUGGGCAUGGACAUACGUACUGCUUAUCAAGCCAUGCUGUGGCAGGCAUCCCACAUGCAAAAUAGAGGAAGAUGAACACAGAUGUUAG
rnacentral:lncRNA from 1 species